GAGUUUGAUCCUGGCCAGGAUAAACGCUAGCGGCAGGCCUAAUACAUGCAAGUCGAACGGACGAUGGAUUUAUUCAUUGUUAGUGGCGCACGGGUGAGUAACACGUACACAACAUACCCAUUAUAGGGGGAUAGCCUUGGGAAACUGAGAGUAAUACCCCAUAGUAUUGGUUGUAGGCAUCUAUGAUUGAUUAAAGCUGAGGCGAUAAUGGAUUGGUGUGCGUCUGAUUAGGUAGUUGGUGGGGUAACGGCCUACCAAGCCGACGAUCAGUAGGGGGCGUGAGAGCGUGGUCCCCCACACGGGUACUGAGAUACGGACCCGACUCCUACGGGAGGCAGCAGUAAGGAAUAUUGGUCAAUGCCCGCAAGGGUGAACCAGCCAUGCCGCGUGCAGGAUGAAUGCCCUAUGGGUUGUAAACUGCUUUUGGAUAGGAAGAAUGGAUUGUAGGGAUAUGAUUUUGACGGUACUAUCAGAAUAAGCACCGGCUAACUCCGUGCCAGCAGCGCGGUAC
rnacentral:rRNA from 1 species